rnacentral:rRNA from 1 species
UACGAAGGGGGGCUAGCGUUGCUCGGAAUUACUGGGCGUAAAGGGCGCGUAGGCGGAUAUUUAAGUUGGGGGUGAAAUCCCGGGGCUCAACCUCGGAAUUGCCUUCAAAACUGGAUAUCUUGAGUUCGGGAGAGGUGAGUGGAACUCCGAGUGUAGAGGUGAAAUUCGUAGAUAUUCGGAAGAACACCAGUGGCGAAGGCGACUCACUGGCCCGAUACUGACGCUGAGGCGCGAAAGCGUGGGGGAGCAAACAGG